CUUGUCUACGGCAUAACACCCAGAACACACCCAGUCUUGUCUGAUCUCAGAAGCUAAGCAGGCUCAGGCCUGGUUAGUAUUUGGAUGGAGAGAAUGCUUGCUAGAUGCUAGUGAUAAGC
rnacentral:rRNA from 1 species